rnacentral:rRNA from 1 species
UGCAUAUCAAUAAGCGGAGGAAAAGAAACUAACAAGGAUUCCCCUAGUAACUGCGAGUGAAGAGGGAAAAGCUCAAAUUUAAAAUCUGGCAGCCUUUGGUUGUCCGAGUUGUAAUCUAGAGAAGUGUUACCCGCGCCGGACCGUGUAUAAGUCUCCUGGAAUGGAGCGUCAUAGAGGGUGAGAAUCCCGUCUUCGACACGGAUCCCCGGGGCUUUGUGGUGCGCUCUCAAAGAGUCGAGUUGUUUGGGAAUGCAGCUCAAAAUGGGUGGUAAAUUCCAUCUAAAGCUAAAUAUUGGCGAGAGACCGAUAGCGAACAAGUACCGUGAGGGAAAGAUGAAAAGAACUUUGGAAAGAGAGUUAAACAGUACGUGAAAUUGCUGAAAGGGAAACGCUUGAAGUCAGUCGCGUCGUCUGGAAAUCAACCUUGCUUUUGUUGGGUGUACUUUCCAGUUGACGGGCCAGCAUCAGUUUUGACCGGUGGAAAAAGUCUAGAGGAAUGUGGCACCUUCGGGUGUGUUAUAGCCUCUGGUCGUAUACAUCGGUUGGGACUGAGGAACUCAGCACGCCGCAAGGCCGGUCUUCGGACACGUUCGUGCUUAGGAUGCUGGCAUAAUGGCUUUAAUCGACCCGUCUUGAAACACGGACCAAGGAGUCUAACAUGCCUGCGAGUAUUUGGGUGGAAAACCCGAGUGCGCAAUGAAAGUGAAAGUCGAGAUUUUUGUCAUGGAAAGCAUCGACGCCCGGACCAGACGUUUUCUGACGGUUCCGCGGUAGAGCAUGUAUGUUGGGACCCGAAAGAUGGUGAACUAUGCCUGAAUAGGGUGAAGCCAGAGGGAAACUCUGGUGGAGGCUCGUAGCGAUUCUGACGUGCAAAUCGAUCGUCAAAUUUGGGUAUAGGGGCGAAAGACUAAUCGAACCCAUCUAGUAGCUGGGUUCCUGCG